UUGGUUUAAUUCUUUCGAAUUGGUUUUUUCAUAAGUUAGAUUUCAAAUAGUUGUUUACUCCAGAAGGAAUAAAGAGGUAUUGGUCUAAUAGAACGCACUUUUGUGUGUGAACAAGUCACACAGUUCAGAUGCGGAAAAAAAUUUGGUUUGGUACGCGGGUCAAUGAAAGUGAAUGGAGGUGACUCCAAACACAGUCAAGUUUGUUGAGGGUGUGGUAAUGAUCCUUCCGCAGGUUCACCUACGGAAA
rnacentral:misc_RNA from 1 species